rnacentral:misc_RNA from 1 species
ACAGAUGUACAUGACUACCAAGUCAAAAUGCGCAACGUGUUGAAAUUCUUGGAAAAUGGCGACAAAGUUAAAGUGACUUUGCGCUUUCGUGGCCGCGAAAUGGCCCACCAAGAUUUGGGUCGCCAGCUUUUGGAACGCGUUGCAGUCGACGUGAAAGAGAUUGGUAAAGUUGAAAGCAUGCCAAAGAUGGAAGGCCGUCAAAUGAUCAUGAUGGUCGGUCCGCUGCCAAGAUAAAGCAGCAACCAUCACACACAUAUAAGGCGCACGCCCGAACCAAUCGGGCGGCGUCAUCAGACACCCUCUAUCAAGAGGA